UGACCGCUGGCGGUCUGCUUAACACAUGCAAGUCGAACGGACUCUUCGGAGUUAGUGGCGGACGGGUGAGUAACGCGUGAGAAUCUGGCUUUGGGUUCGGGACAACCACUGGAAACGGUGGCUAAUACCGGAUGUGCCGAGAGGUAAAAGAGAAAUUGCCUGAAGAUGAGCUCGCGUCUGAUUAGCUAGUUGGUGAGGUAAAGGCUCACCAAGGCAGCGAUCAGUAGCUGGUCUGAGAGGAUGACCAGCCACACUGGGACUGAGACACGGCCCAGACUCCUACGGGAGGCAGCAGUGGGGAAUUUUCCGCAAUGGGCGAAAGCCUGACGGAGCAAUACCGCGUGAGGGAAGAAGGCUCUUGGGUUGUAAACCUCUUUUCUUAGGGAAGAACAAAAUGACGGUACCUAAGGAAUCAGCAUCGGCUAACUCCGUG
rnacentral:rRNA from 1 species